UACAGAGGUCCCGAGCGUUGUUCGGAUUCAUUGGGCGUAAAGGGUGCGUAGGCGGCAUGGCAAGUCGGGUGUGAAAUCCCGGGGCUCAACCCCGGAACUGCACUGGAUACUGCUUUGCUAGAGUACUGGAGAGGGAACUGGAAUUUACGGUGUAGCAGUGAAAUGCGUAGAUAUCGUAAGGAAGACCAGUGGCGAAGGCGAGUUCCUGGACAGUUACUGACACUGAGGCACGAAGGCCAGGGGAGCAAACGGG
rnacentral:rRNA from 1 species